GGCCCCAUCGUCUAGAGGCCUAGGACAUCGGAUUUUCAGUCCGAGAACAGGGGUUCGACUCCCCUUGGGGUCA
rnacentral:tRNA from 1 species